GGGAUUGUGGCUCAGCAGUAGAGUGCUCACUUUGAAUGUGUGAGGCCCUGGGUUCAAUCCUUAGCACCA
rnacentral:tRNA from 1 species